GCUAGUACGUGAAGUUCUUUUGGACAAAAAAUAGGAAGAAAUUCCAUUUGUAAAAGCACCUUCCAAAGAUAGCCCUGGCCCUGACUCUGACUCUCCAUCUCUUUCUGAACCUGGUUCUGGUGAUAUCAAGAAUGAAGAGAAAGCUGCGACUGAAAUAAAGAAGGACGAUUGUUGCAAUCAAACAUAUGACCAUCAAGAGGGAUCAAAAGAAAAAUAUUCAGGAAUUGAAACAUAAUCUAUAUGAUACAAAAGCAGGAAUGAAGUUUCUACAAAUGAAGUACCAGGAGGAUUUCAACA